rnacentral:rRNA from 1 species
UGGGUUUGACAUCCCGAGUAUUUUCUAGAAAUAGAGAAGUGCCUUCAUUAGGAGGAGCUUGGAGAC